GAUGAAGAACGUAGCGAAAUGCGAUAAGUAAUGUGAAUUGCAGAAUUCAGUGAAUCAUCGAAUCUUUGAACGCACAUUGCGCCCGCUAGUAUUCUGGCGGGCAUGCCUGUUCGAGCGUCAUUUCAACCAUCCAGCCCUUUAGCUUGUGUUGGGGACCUGCGGCUGCCGCAGCCCCCGAAAUGCAGUGGCGGGCUCGUUGUCACACCGAGUGCAGUAAUCAUUCUUCUCUCCGGGCGUGGCGGCGGGUUCCGGCCGUAAAAUCACCAAUUUAUCAAGGUUGACCUCGGAUCAGGUAGGAAUACCCGCUGAACUUAAGCAUAUCAAUAAGCGGAGGA
rnacentral:misc_RNA from 1 species